rnacentral:lncRNA from 1 species
CACCUAACAACAUCUCCAUAAUCAUCACAAACCAAGGGAUAUAAUCAUCAUAAAUCAAACUAGACAUUCUUUUAUGCUCUCGUUUUUCUCAUAACAACAAAGUCGACUAUCCAUGAAUUUUUCAAUUAUCACUCGACUUUCUCAAUCAACCUUUUUUUUUUCAUUUUUCUUUUUCUUUUUCUCUUUUUUUUUUCUUUUUUCUAGAGCUUAUAAGAAUGACUAGAAUCAUGUUUCACCCUUAUUUCAAUCAACCCACAGUCAAUAUCACACGAUGAUCCCCAUAUACUCCAUCACCCCCUAUCAUCCGGUUAAUGAAUCAAAGCUUAAAAAGGCUCAAACACGGUUAACAAGGGAAUAAUGUUUUCAGGACAGUGUUUGGGAUAUAACGUGGCUUACGAAAAAUGGCCUAAGAUCAUUUCAAACUCUUG